rnacentral:lncRNA from 1 species
AUCAAUCUUUCUUCGCUCGAAGUGGUCUCCACGCGUUAAACAUGUGAGGUUUCCACUAUCCUUCCUACAUACAUAAAUUCAUUUAUCUAGACGGUAGGGUUUCAUUAGUCCACAAGCCACCGAUUGCGUUUAACACAACACACAUACGAUAAAUAGAAUGGCGAAAACAUCGUGAACAAGCCCACAUAUAGACAUCAAUCAUAACCUAUACAUGUGUUGUUACUUCCACAAUCCCCUAAGAGCAAGUACAAUAAGGUGACAUAAGUAGGCUAUAAGGAUUAGAAUAAUAUAUUUUUGCUUAAUUGGAGGAGAGAGAAGAGAACCGGGCUCUUCGUGAGUAGCGAGCUGCAGCACGAGACCCAAGACACUUUGUGAGAUUGUAAGGUGAGCCAACUAUUACUAAAGUAGUACACAUCUAAAACUUACUAUUGUAUAUGCCGGCUAUUAGGUUGGCUCUGUAUGACAUGGCAACUCCUUAUAGCCGAUUGUUGGUUGUAUUAUUAAUCAUGCUCUAAUGAAAAAGCACGACAC